rnacentral:rRNA from 1 species
CAAAGGAGAAAUCCGCUGAGAGAUGGGCUCGCGUCCAAUUAGCUGGUUGGCGGGGUAAAGGCCCACCAAGGCGACGAUUGGUAGCCGGACUGAGAGGUUGAACGGCCACAUUGGGACUGAGACACGGCCCAGACUCCUACGGGAGGCAGCAGUGGGGAAUAUUGCACAAUGGGGGGAACCCUGAUGCAGCGACGCCGCGUGAGGGAAGAAGGUUUUCGGAUUGUAAACCUCUGUCCUCUGUGACGAUAAUGACGGUAGCAGAGGAGGAAGCCACGGCUAACUACGCGCCAGCAGCCGCGGUAAUACGUAGGUGGCGAGCGUUAUCCGGAAUUACUGGGUGUAAAGGGAGCGUAGGCGGGGGAACAAGUUGAAUGUUUAAGAUAUGGGCUCAACUCAUAUAAGCGUUCAAAACUGUUUUUCUUGAGUGAAGUAGAGGUAAGCGGAAUUCCUAGUGUAGCGGUGGAAUGCGUAAAUAUUAGGAGGAACACCAGUGGCGAAGGCGGCUUACUGGGCUUUAACUGACGCUGAGGCUCGAAAGCGUGGGUAGCAAACAGGAUUAGAUACCCUGGUAGUCCACGCUGUAAACGAUGAUUACUAGGUGUGGGG